GAUGAACGCUAGCUACAGGCUUAACACAUGCAAGUCGAGGGGCAUCAGUUUGGUUUGCUUGCAAACCAAAGCUGGCGACCGGCGCACGGGUGAGUAACACGUAUCCAACCUGCCUCAUACUCGGGGAUAGCCUUUCGAAAGAAAGAUUAAUAUCCGAUAGCAUAUAUUUCCCGCAUGGGUUUUAUAUUAAAGAAAUUCGGUAUGAGAUGGGGAUGCGUUCCAUUAGUUUGUUGGGGGGGUAACGGCCCACCAAGACUACGAUGGAUAGGGGUUCUGAGAGGAAGGUCCCCCACAUUGGAACUGAGACACGGUCCAAACUCCUACGGGAGGCAGCAGUGAGGAAUAUUGGUCAAUGGACGCGAGUCUGAACCAGCCAAGUAGCGUGAAGGAUGACUGCCCUAUGGGUUGUAAACUUCUUUUAUAUGGGAAUAAAGUUGUCCACGUGUGGAUUUUUGUAGUACC
rnacentral:rRNA from 1 species